AUAUUAAUAAGCGGAGGAAAAGAAACUAACAAGGAUUCCCCUAGUAACGGCGAGUGAAGCGGGAACAGCUCAAAUUUGUAAUCUCUUCGGAGAAUUGUAGUUUGUAGAAGCGUUAUCGACGGCUAGCUGGGUAUAAGUCCCUUGGGAUAGGGCGUCAUAGAGGGUGAGAAUCCCGUAUAUGAUCCAGUGAUGUCGCGUAUGAUACGUUUUCAAAGAGUCGGGUUGUUUGGGAUUGCAGCCCUAAAUGGGUGGUAUAUUCCAUCUAAAGCUAAAUAUUGGCGAGAGACCGAUAGCGCACAAGUA
rnacentral:rRNA from 1 species